UACGUAGGUGGCAAGCGUUGUUCGGAAUCAUUGGGCGUAAAGAGCGUGUAGGCGGCCAGAUAAGUCCGCUGUGAAAACUCGAGGCUCAACUUCGAGCUGUCGGUGGAAACUAUUUGGCUAGAGUCCGGAAGAGGAGAGUGGAAUUCCUGGUGUAGCGGUGAAAUGCGCAGAUAUCAGGAAGAACACCCGUGGCGAAGGCGGCUCUCUGGGACGGUACUGACGCUGAGGAGCGAAAGCCAGGGGAGCAAACGGG
rnacentral:rRNA from 1 species